GCGGAGCGGGUCGUGGGAGAGCCGCUUCCGCCCCGGGCUCUUGGGGGCAGCCACCUGCCAGGCGCUUUUCCCUGAAUUGUGUUAUCUAGAGGACGGAUUUAACCUCAGGUUCCGGAUGUAGGUUCUCCUGUUGCAGAAUUACUUCACCGAGGGGUUCAUCCAGUAGAACCCCUAUCGUCUGCAAAGGGCUGAGACAGGAGUGACUCACUGUAAGGAGGAGGCAUGUUGUAGCAAACCAGACACCUACCAGUCAAGCUGUGUUCUGCCUACAUGCCAGAAGAGGGCACCAGAUUGGAUUGUAGACGGCCACCAUGUGGUCGCUGGGAAUUGAACUCUGGAAGAGCAGUCAGUGGUCUUAACCUCUGAGCCAUCUCUCCAGCCCUGAAGCGGUUGUUAAUGAGAUCUGCUGCUAGCCUUGGUAGGCAUUAGACUGGUUUAGUUUCCUUUGAUUACCAUUGUGAGUUUUAGACACAGAAUUGGGUAUGGCAACUUACAUAUUCCCAACUUAAAUUCCCUUGUCAGCUCUGCCAUAGUUUUUCUGUGCUGUAACGCCAUCUCUUGCCAUCUCUUACCUUGAUCGGUGUCAUUUUAGUCAACCAAGUAUUCCUUACUUCAAAAACACAUUUUUUUUUUUUUUU